UGCGACUUGGUUUUUGUUGUCAUUGUGCGGGAACCCUGUGGUGUCACACGCCAAGUCAUCCGCGCAACUCCCAGGCCCUACUCGGUGUUUUAUGUGUUUUUAACCGCCUCUAUUUAGUGCUUGAAAGUAGUUCGUAUGUUCACAGAAAAAAAAGGCAGCUUGAAAAUAGUAUUUAAUGAGAAAAUAUGCGGAUUCAAAUGGGCUAAAGUCUUUGAGGAACCGUUUUGUCUGAAGUACGAGCCGAUAGUAAAAUCCCGAGUGUUCGUCAAUCCCGCCAGUCGCGGCAGCAAAAAGAGGACUAGGAGAGGAUCUACACUACCAUUCUACUAAUAUUCAUUCACGUCACGUCUAUAUCUAUGUAAGGAGACCCUGAGAAGUAAGGGCCUUUGGAUAUUGAUGUCUGUUUUCAUCUAUAAAAACCAUUCACUUGUGCCAACCAGUGUCUUGCUAGCAGAAAGUCGACAUGUUCGCAGUUUACAACCAUAAAGCGAACACAACUAAGGGCGACAAACAAAAAAGUGACAAAAAAAAACAUUGCCAUGGUAAAACCAACCAAGGACUACCUGAGGGCCAUGAUUGAUGCUGAGAGGCAUGAGAGUAGGCAAAUUUCUUAAAGAUAAUUAUAGUAGGGGAUUUCUUACUUUGAUAAAGCAAUAUAAGUGUUAUAUGUUUUUUCUAUAAACCUAAA